rnacentral:lncRNA from 1 species
GUUCUCUCAUUCUCUUGCUCACUCUUGGAACACUCACUCCAAGGGAAGCAAGUUGCCAGGUGGAGAGGCCCACGUGGCAAGGGACUGGGGCCUUCCAAUAACCACAUGAGUGAACUGAGAAGAAGACUCUCCCCAGUCAGCCUCCCCCACUUAGCCUGUGGGCAACCUCAUGAGAGACUUUGAAGCAGAAGCUCUUAGCUAUGCCUUGCUUGGAUUCCUGAGCCACAGAAACUCUGACAUGAUGAAUGCUCAUUGUUUUUAAGCCACUCAGUUCUGAGGUUAUUUGUUAUGCAGCAAAGUAUAACAUCUCACUCUGUCAGCCAGGCUGGAGUACUCACUGCAUCCUCCACCUCCCAGGCUCAAGAGAUCCUCCCACCUCAGCCUCCUGAGUAGCUGGGACCACAGAUUGGGAAGGCCACUCAUACUCCGGCGGUAUCUGGAGGACCUCCGGGAAGACGGCAAGGACAGCACUUCCGAAAU